rnacentral:lncRNA from 1 species
ACUAAAAAUACAAAAAUUAGCUAGGCGUGGUGGCGGAUGCCUGUAGUCCCACGUACUCGGAAGGCUGAGGCACAAGAAUCGCUUGAACCCGGGAGGGGGAGGUUGCAAUGAGCCAAGACUGUGCCACUGCACUCCAGCGUGGGCGACAGACUGAGACUCUGUCUCAAAAAUAAAUAAAUAAAUAAAUAAAAAUAAUAAUAGUGGUGGGCGUCCUCUCACCCCUCUUCUCCGUCCUCCUAGGGUGUGUGUGGGAGCGUGGGUAGUGAAUGUGUGCGAACGAGUAUUUCGAGCAAAGCUGCAUACGUGACAGACAGCGUGUGCAUCAUAUCUGUGUGAUGGGGAUGUGUGUGACUGGCAAAGUGAGAGUGCUCGCUGAUGCCGAUUUUUAACAUAGUGAGAAAGACAGUCUCUCCUAUUUUGCCCCCCUCCCCAGGCCACUUUGAAGGCCUGACUGGGAAGGUGCCGGGGCCAAGAGAGAGGCCAGGUGGGAGCACACGGUGUGUUCACAGCCACACCACCCUUGCCCCAGGUUACGCUGUGGCCGUGCUGCACAAGACCUGCAGCCUCUCCUACAUCGCGGGGGCUCCACGG